rnacentral:lncRNA from 1 species
GUAGCUGUGGAAAGCCUGCGCCCCAAGGAGGGACGCGGGGGUGCAGUCGCGGCCCAUUAUCUGUGCCCGGGAAGUCCUGAAGGCUCUAGGAGCUGUCAGAUUAAACCCCCAGACCCACAAGAAAAUCCCUGAAGCUUCGGUGAGCGUGGGAUUUGGCGUGCAGUUGGUUCCGUAUGGUUCCCCAUUAAGACUUGGAAGUCGGCUUACCAAGAUUUCCUCUUACCCUUCGGCUGUGUUGAGUAGAUAUUACACAGACACCCCGCCCAUGACUCUGCUCUUGCAGGAAAACAUUUAUUUCAAAAAUACUGCAACGGUUUCAUCUCUCAUGUCCUUUUAGGUUCUUUCUAGUAAUUGUGAACUUUUCCUCUCAAGUCAUUCCAUCAAAGUCUUGGAAGCAAAUGAAAAAAACAUACUACCCUGAAAUAGAGUUCACAUCUUUCUUUACCAACUUGCCUUUCCCAGGAAGACAUCGUGGUGGGUUUGCAGUUCAGGUUUCCUCACAGCCUCUCCUGGGGGUCUUUUUCCCUCUCUGGUACCUUGAGGCAUAGGACAGAAGGGAGCUGCUGAAGUUUCUGGAUGUCGCUUAUUUUUCACAUUUGUUUUAACUUCUUUUGGCCAGAACUGUGUAUUGUUUUCGCAUAGAUUUCUGCAAUUAGAAUUAUUGUAAUUAGAAAGAAUAAUAAUCUUCAUAUAAGGCUUAGGGUACGCACUACUUUAAGGUCUUUGUAAAUGUGUGCAUAUUCAUUUCUCUCAUCAACUCUGAGGUAGGGGCUAUUCUUACCCCAUUAUUGACCUUUUACAAAUGAGGAAACUGAUGCUUGGAGAAGUUAGAUAACUCGCCCAAGGCCAUUCCUUCUCUAAGAGGAGGAACUGGAAUUUGACCCCAAACUGUCAGUUGACUUUUGCUGAUGGAGCCUCUCUGAAGGGCAAAUUCAAAGUACAGCUGGGUGCUGCAGCACUGGAGUGCGAACUUGUGGCUGUGGUUAUGAAGGAGCCUCGUCAGCUAUGCCUUUAGCCCCUGGUGAAGCAGUGCCAGUCACACUUUGCCAGUCAAACGGAGAGGCAGCAGUAGUAAGACCAGACCAAAUCAAACCAAACCAAGCAAACCACGGGGAAUGGAGGUCAUGUGAGCACACAGCAUAAAGGCAGCUGCCCACAAGCCAGGAAGAGAAGCAUCAUCAGAAACCGACCAUACUGGCUUCCUGAUCUCAGACUUUCAGCCUCCAGAAUGGUGAGAAAUAAAUUUCUGUUGGUUAAGUCACCCAGUCUGUAUUUUGUUAUGGCAGCCCAAGGUGACAAAUAUUGUUUCUCCUUGAUGGCUGUGCAUUUGGAGGGAGCCUCUGUGAGCCCUGACUUUCCUCUAGGAGCAGGUUGGGUAGGAAAGUAACAUCGACCAGCUGAGUGUAGUUCAUACAGAUGUGGACCAGACAGGGCGUGAAAGGUGGAAGGAGAGGACUGGUCCCAAAGGCCAAACACCAAGACUGAAAGGCAAGCUUAGGAGAAAUCGACACUGUUAGGAGGAAUUGACAAAGUAAAUCUUAUGACAAAUUUCAAAAUUAAAAAAUUUAAAAACCCUAAUAGAAAUAAAACGUCUCAUUUGGAUAAUGUUUUAAAUCUUCUAAGUGCUUUUCUAUCUGUCUUCUCAUUGGAUCCUCAGAUUAACGUUUGAAGUUAGAGUUUAUAAUUAUUAUUUAUCUAAGCUUGUCAGAUGAAGAAACUAAGAGCCUAAUAAUUUAAUUAAAUGACUUGCGUAAGUUUUAACAGCUAAUUUGCAACAGAGUAAAUCUUAUGAAAAUUUCAAAAUUAAAAUAUUGUCAUAAUAAUGCAGAAAGUCUAUUUUGGGAAGGCUGGCCAAAAUUAUAAUGGAAAUUUUUUUUAUUUAAAGGGGCCCUUAUUAAUUUGCAAGGCUUUGCUAUGGUUA